GGAGAGGUGACCGAGUGGCCGAAGGUGCACGACUGGAAAUCGUGUGUGCGGAAACGUACCGUGGGUUCGAAUCCCACUCUCUCCGCCA
rnacentral:tRNA from 1 species